rnacentral:misc_RNA from 1 species
GCGCAUGUUACCUGAAAUUGAAAAGAAAGAUUUCCGUAAAGGUUCUCAGUGGUUUUCUAUGAAGCGACAACAUGCUAUUAUUGUAAUGGCUGACAGUCUUUACUAUACAAUAUUCAAGCGUUUCUGCAAGCGAACUAAGGACGGGCCCAAUUGCUAUGCUGACGAGCACUAUUUUCCAACCCUUUUCCAUAUGAUCGACCCUGGUGGAAUUGCAAAUUG